rnacentral:rRNA from 1 species
AGUGAACGCUGGCGGCAGGCCUAACACAUGCAAGUCGAACGGAAGCACAGUAAGAGCUUGCUCUUACGGGUGGCGAGUGGCGGAUGGGUGAGGCAUACAUCGGAAUCUACUUUUUCGUGGGGGAUAACGUAGGGAAACAUACGCUAAUACCGCAUAUGAUCUACGGGUGAAUGCAGGGGAUCUUCGGACCUUGCGCGAUUGAAUGAGCUGAUGUCGGAUUAGCUAGUUGGCGGGGUAAAGGCCCACCAAGGCGACGAUCCGUAGCUGAUCUGAGAGGAUGAUCGGCCACACUGGAACUGAGACACGGUCCAGACUCCUACGGGAGGCAGCAGUGGGGAAUAUUGGACAAUGGGCGCAAGCCUGAUCCAGCCAUGCCGCGUGGGUGAAGAAGGCCUUCGGGUUGUAAAGCCCUGUUGUUGGGAAAGAAAAGCUGCAGGAUAAUACCCCGCUGUUCUGACGGUACCCAAAGAAUAAGCACCGGCUAACUACGUG